AAUAACGGCCUCAGUCAAGACCAGGAUCGCAUUAUGCAAGACUCUGCGCUGAGAGAAGGUGCAAGAUACUCAUUGGCCCUUGACUUUUAAUGUGCACCAAAAAAAAGAUGCCUGUAGAAGGGAAGAACAUAGAAGCAGUUGUUCGCUGAGGGAUUUAGGGCUUAUCAGCAACUGAUUAAGAUAUACAAGCGACAUCGGAAGAAUUGGUGCUGCCUGAGAGAUUCUUCUUAUACACCAAGGACCACUGAACUGCUUUAAAGGAACUGGGCCCCGUGAAGGUGGUCAGCGUGCUCACAAGCCAGGAACUUCUAUUUCUUGCUCUAACAUGUGCUUCUUCAGGGCAUGAAGGCAGGAGAAGUUUUAACUGUGUAGCUGCUGCUGCAACCACAGCUAGAAACUAGCCAGCAGGCUAGCCAGGGCUGGAGUGGGGACGAAGGAAUACUGGACAAGAGAUUGGAAUCGCCUAGGAAAGGCUAUCAAGGCUGGGAGCUGCAGAAGGAAAGACAUCAGCGUCACUUCAGUUUUCUUUGGCUCCAGCUGCUCUCCACCCUAAUCUCAUUUCCUCUACCCAUCGGGACAUGCUAGCAGCGGUUACUCUGGCUGUGGAUGAAGUACCGUCGCUGCGCUUGGCACGCUAUCGUCAGCUAAACCCGCGGGAUCUUAUCAGCACGGCAGCGGCCCUAACUGAGCGGGGUCUGCUGGAAGCGCCUGCUAAAAUUCACACCGCGUGUCCAAUCGAAACGGAAAUAGUUUGGGAGAGCCGACACGGGAACAAGCUGCCUCUGCCUUCCCGAG